UACUUUUUUUUUUUCCCCCUUCUUUUCAUCCCACGCAUCACAUGGGUUGGGCUCCCUACGUUGGGGACCUGGCUUACUCGACGCUCAUCAUCAUAGGUCUGACACUUAGUCGAUGUAGCUAUCCCCACCUCAGGGCAACAAGACUCGGGCUGGCAGACAGACUGGGGAAGCCAACCUGCUUCCUGCUGUGCAUGGCAGGAUCCUGGCAAACGGCAUAUGGCAAAUGCUCACACAAAAUGUGCUGGCUUGAUCAGACCAAUAUGCUCCUGUCAAGAGCAGCAGAACUCGUAGACUCAGGGUGCAUUCUAUCCAGGUUCCUAAACUGAGCUUGGAAGGAAGAGGAAAGAGCUGCAGAGGCGGAGACUCUGACCCCAAAGCGAUCGAGGGCCCUCCCCUGGCUUCCGUGUCCCUGUGGCAGGCGGUGGUGGUCGAAAUCUCUGCCCCUCAGAGUCCUGGGGAGGAUGGAUGGAACAGGAGGAGCAUCAUGAGAAGGCUUCCUGUAAACUACGGAGGGUGAGGGGACGGAGCGUGAGGGAACGUCGUGAGAUGGUGCUCGUGGAAGCCAGCAGAGGGUGUAGGGUCUCCUGGAGCCACAUCUCUGGAGUUACAUGAAGUUGUGGACCUCUCAACAUGGGUUCUGGGAACUGAACCCAGGUCCUCUGGAAGGACAUCGAGUGCUCUUAACCACUGAGCCAUCUCUGCAGCCUAACCCCAUCCCUUGGAGGCUGAAGCAAAGCAAGUUCAAUGACCGUGCGACCUGGCUCUUGUUUGGGCCUAAGGAAAAGCCGACUGUAAGCCGGGAAGCAUCUCUGGCAAGAACAAGGAAGGAUUAAGCACGUCUGUGGUUGUGCGCAGGGAUCACAAGGUGCUCCUGCAGUGGGAAGAGCCACCACUAGGGGCGCUCCAAGUCUUGUAUUUUCUACCUUGAAAACUCGUUUCCCUGUGGCUGCCCUCCAAAUCCAACGGAGAUGAAUGGCUUUUAGUUUACCUAGCUGAUUUAAUAAACUUUAAAAAUAAAUGUA
rnacentral:lncRNA from 1 species